AACACAUGCAAGUCGAACGGCAGCACAGAGGAGCUUGCUCCUUGGGUGGCGAGUGGCGGACGGGUGAGGAAUACGUCGGAAUCUGCCUAUUUGUGGGGGAUAACGUAGGGAAACUUACGCUAAUACCGCAUACGACCUACGGGUGAAAGUGGGGGACCGCAAGGCCUCACGCAGAUAGAUGAGCCGACGUCGGAUUAGCUAGUUGGCGGGGUAAAGGCCCACCAAGGCGACGAUCCGUAGCUGGUCUGAGAGGAUGAUCAGCCACACUGGAACUGAGACACGGUCCAGACUCCUACGGGAGGCAGCAGUGGGGAAUAUUGGACAAUGGGCGCAAGCCUGAUCCAGCCAUGCCGCGUGUGUGAAGAGGGCCUUCGGGUUGUAAAGCACUUUUGUCCGGAAAGAAAAGCUUAGGGUUAAUAACCCUGAGUCAUGACGGUACCGGAAGAAUAAGCACCGGCUAACUUCGUGCCAGCAGCCGCGGUAAUACGAAGGGUGCAAGCGUUACUCGGAAUUACUGGGCGU
rnacentral:rRNA from 1 species